UUGCUUGCCUGAGAAGUUUCUAGACAGUAUUAGCUAUUGUGGAUAAAAAUGGAAUUCUUCACUUCUGUAAUAUAGAGAUAUUUUCUCUGUGACUCUGACCUCUCAGAUCUUUCCUUUAUUGCUCCAAACCGCAGCCAUAGAUUUAGUUCUAAAGAGGUCUCCCUUUCCUGGCAUUAGUAUCUAUGGGAUGGAUGACAGUGUGCUGUGACUUUUUAUGCCAACAGGCCACUCUCUUCUCUGUACUAUUGUAGAUUUUUCUCUCAAGCGGUAGUGCAGCUUUGAAGACUCCUGGAGAUCGUGGCAACAUUUUUAUCAGCUGCAUCAACCAACAAGCAUUGCUACCUCGAGGAAAUAAGGGGCUGCUGAACUCAUCCUUGAUUCUGUCAAGCUAUCCUCAAUCUGUAUAAUUGGUCCCUGUGUGGUUGUAGGCAAGAAAAUAAAAAUGGACUGAACCCCAGAAACAUGACAAAUGCUUUGAAAAUGGCUUUGGACUAAAAGAGUCUCCAUGUGUUUCAUAAUGGAAUCAUUUUGCUUAUGAGAAAUGCCUGUGAGGAUGUCAUAGAAUGCUGCUGCUGGAAGAUUCAAAG